rnacentral:rRNA from 1 species
UGAGGAAUAUUGGUCAAUGGGCGUAAGCCUGAACCAGCCAUCCCGCGUGAAGGAAGAAGGCGCUAUGCGUUGUAAACUUCUUUUCCAGGGGAAGAAAACCCAAUACGCGUAUUGGCUUGCCGGUACCCUGGGAAUAAGCAUCGGCUAACUCCGUGCCAGCAGCCGCGGUAAUACGGAGGCUGCGAGCGUUAUCCGGAUUUAUUGGGUUUAAAGGGUGCGUAGGCGGAUUAAUAAGUCAGUGGUGAAAACCUUCAGCUUAACUUGAGAACUGCCAUUGAUACUGGUAGUCUUGAGUACGGUCAAGGGAGGCGGAAUGUGUAAUGUAGCGGUGAAAUGCUUAGAUAUUACACAGAACACCGAUUGCGAAGGCAGCUUACUGGGCCAUUACUGACGCUGAUGCACGAAAGCGUGGGGAGCGAACA